AAUGUAAAGGAAAUUAGUCCUUUCUUUUGGUUUCCCCUAUCCUAUUUCUCUUGGUUUCCCAUGCAUAAUUAAGGAAUCAAACAAAGGGUAAAUGAAUUAUAUUUUGUCACAGACAGAAAUUUAAUUUAGAGGGUCCAAUUAAAAUAUAUGAUUUAUAACAAUAAUAUACAUGAAAUAAAUAAAAGUUGACGAGAAUUUCUUACAAAAGUUCAUAAGUUGUUACAAUUAAAUUACA
rnacentral:misc_RNA from 1 species